UACAGAGGGUGCGAGCGUUAAUCGGAAUUACUGGGCGUAAAGCGUGCGUAGACGGUUUCGUAAGUCGGGUGUGAAAUCCCCGGGCUCAACCUGGGAAUUGUAUUCGAAACUGCGAGGCUAGGGUACGGAAGAGGGAAGCGGAAUUUCUGGUGUAGCGGUGAAAUGCGUAGAUAUCGGGAGGAACAUCUGAGGCGAAGGCGGGCUACGGGGCCGAUACUGAGGCUGAGGCGCGAAAGCCAGGGGAGCAAACGGG
rnacentral:rRNA from 1 species